rnacentral:tRNA from 2 species
UUAGCUCAGUUGGGAGAGCACCUCCCUUACAAGGAGGGGGUCACUGGUUCGAGACCGGUA